GGGCAGAUGGCGAAAUUGGCAGACGCACUGGCUUUAGGAGCCAGCGAGAGCAAUCUCUUGAGGGUUCAAAUCCCUCUCUGCCCACCA
rnacentral:tRNA from 5 species